rnacentral:rRNA from 1 species
ACGGAUCUCUUGGUUCUGGCAUCGAUGAAGAACGCAGCGAAAUGCGAUAAGUAAUGUGAAUUGCAGAAUUCAGUGAAUCAUCGAAUCUUUGAACGCACAUUGCGCCCUCCGGUAUUCCGGAGGGCAUGCCUGUUCGAGCGUCAUUUCAACCCUCAAGCACUGCUUGGUGUUGGGGCACUGCUCCUCUCGCGGGGAGCAGGCCCUGAAAUUCAGUGGCGAGCUCGCCAGGACCCCGAGCGCAGUAGUUAAACCCUCGCUCUGGAAGGCCCUGGCGGUGCCCUGCCGUUAAACCCCCAACUCUUGAAAAUUUGACCUCGGAUCAGGUAGGAAUACCCGCUGAACUUAAGCAUAUCAAUAAGCGGAGGAA